CAACAGGGAUUGCCUUAGUAGCGGCGAGUGAAGCGGCAAAAGCUCAAAUUUGAAAUCUGGCUCUUUCAGAGUCCGAGUUGUAAUUUGAAGAAGGUAUCUUUGGGUCUGGCUCUUGUCUAUGUUUCUUGGAACAGAACGUCACAGAGGGUGAGAAUCCCGUGCGAUGAGAUGAUCCAGGCCUAUGUAAAGUUCCUUCGAAGAGUCGAGUUGUUUGGGAAUGCAGCUCUAAGUGGGUGGUAAAUUCCAUCUAAAGCUAAAUAUUGGCGAGAGACCGAUAGCGAACAAGUACAGUGAUGGAAAGAUGAAAAGAACUUUGAAAAGAGAGUGAAAAAGUACGUGAAAUUGUUGAAAGGGAAGGGCUUGAGAUCAGACUUGGUAUUUUGUAUGUUACUUCUUCGGGGG
rnacentral:rRNA from 1 species